UACGUAGGGUGCGAGCGUUGUCCGGAAUUACUGGGCGUAAAGAGCUUGUAGGUGGUUUGUCGCGUUGUUCGUGAAAUCUCACGGCUUAACUGUGAGCGUGCGGGCGAUACGGGCAGACUAGAGUACUGCAGGGGAGACUGGAAUUCCUGGUGUAGCGGUGGAAUGCGCAGAUAUCAGGAGGAACACCGGUGGCGAAGGCGGGAUCCUGGGCCAGUACUGACGCUGAGGAGCGAAAGCGUGGGGAGCGAACAGG
rnacentral:rRNA from 1 species